UUCUCUUCUGGUUCCAACCAGCUGAAGGGUUUGCGAUGCACGCUCGUCCGAGGCAGCUUUUUCCGUUCAGGUUUGUGCUGACGUUCGCCGGCGUUUUCAGUUCGUUCGUGUAAAGAGGUCGUGUCCCAUUCCUGUAUCUCAUGCAGUUCGUACGUGAAAAGCUAGUGAGAAAGCGGAUAAACGCAGUGCGAUUGUCGCGUGCAGAAACUUUGGUGUGAAAAUGGUUAACCCUGCCAUUUCGGCAUCCAAGUGAGCGUGUGUUGCCGGUAGUGUGUGCCAUUUGUCUCUGGUCUGGUGUUGAGCAAGCGUAAAGUGAGUGGCUGUAGUGGUUCGUGUGCGUCUUUGUUCUAUUUUGUGUCAGGUUCCCCAAGAGUGCAGCAACCGCCAGCCCUGCUUGGUUUGAAAAGAUUGAAAACGAAAUAACGAAACGCAAGGCAAAACACGAGCAAAGCAGCGGAGCUAUAGUUACAGAAGAUUGGAGAGUAAAUUUAGGCCGACGUACAGUUUAUCAGUCGGUAUUUGGGAAAACAACGUAAAAACAAACACAAACAAGAUUGCUCCAGUUUAUGUUUGCAAACAUACACACUCACACAGCUGGAUGAUAGUCGUGGCGUCCUGAGCUUAGAAGUGAUAUAUGGAUUAUUAAACGUAUGCAUCAAACGAGUAAGACAACUCUAGUCAACACACCAUCCAAUCGCGCAAGGAAUUAGUGAUUGAAAUCUAAGAUAAUAUUUUAUGAGUGUCAUACGAGGGAUGAUAGCUAUCAACUUAACGUUCCGUCUUUCAACAAAACAGUUUAUGUCUGAAGGAAGAAAACAAAUUUAAAAGUGCAAGACUGUCUAGUAAGCUGUCUGAAAGUUUUAUCAAAUAUAUGAAAAAAAGGAUCGAAAACCAAACCAUGCUAGACAUGUACCCUGAACUGACAUGAACAUCGAUCGAUUCUCCGAAACGGCAACUAUUUUGUACCGAGACUCGAUUCAACGACCUUCAGCAUUGCAAGCGGGAAGAAACAAUUUUGCCUGAAGAUGCAAAGAAGACAAUAGACAUAGCGUAUCAUACAUAAGCUAAAGUAUCUGGUAUGUUUGGUGUCUGGCUUAGGUGUCGAGAAACUCAAGAAAAUGGCACCAUCACAAGCGAGUUGAAAAUCUUCCCCCAGAUAAACAGAGAACCCGUCGUACAUGGGCCAAAAGAAAGGAGAUGAACCGUUUCCGUGGUUUUGAAUUGUUCGCUUCGUAUGUCCUUUGGUGAUAAAACUUUUGCCAGUCACAUCUAACGUUUUCUUCACACUGCGGUACUGCCGCCGUGGUAGGAGAUGGUUAAUCAACCAUG